AUUUAGACAACAAGCAGCCAAAGUUAAAAUCAAGUGAAUACAAGUAGUAAUAGGUAAUCGUAAGUCCUUCGCCAAUGAGAAAAAACGCACACCGUAUAAUCAGCUAUAUAACAUGUAUUAGGCGCCGACAUGAAAAAUAUGAAAUAAUACAAUUGAGGAAACUGACGGCUUGAUUUACAACAUAACAAUUCACGGAAAGAAAAAAAUAACGAACAAAACCAAACGACAACCACUUAACUAAAUAUCUUUACUUACAAAUACAUAUCGCAAACCAUUCUAUUUGGGACAGUGGUGUAAUAGUUAAACAUAAGAACAAAUUAUGAAUCAACGCUGGGAAGUGCUUAACCAGUUAGAUCGGUAAAGAGCAGAAAAAAACAUUUCACAUAGUGGAUAUGGUCAGGUAUUUAUACAUCCUAUACACAUUAAGAUAUACAGAUCUGAAAGUAAUCGAAUUUACUGACAGGUUAUUCAACCCC
rnacentral:lncRNA from 1 species